ensembl:lncRNA
GGAGGUAUAGAGGUAAGUGACUGUAGGUGGAGGUAAAGAGGUAUGGGACUGUAGGUGGAGGUAUAGAGGUAAGUGACUGUAGGUGGAGGUAAAGAGGUAUGGGACUGUAGAUGGAGGUAGAGAGGUAUAGGACUGGAGGUGGAGGUAAAGAGGUAUGUGACUGUAGGUGGAGGUAAAGAGGUAUGGGACUGUAGGUGGAGGUAAAGAGGUAAGUAACUGUAGGUGGAGGUAUGGGACUGUAGGUGGAGGUAAACAGGUUUGGGACUGUAGCUGGAGGUAAAGAGGUAUGUGACUGUAGGUGGAGGUAUAGAGGUAUGUGACUGUAGGUGGAGGUAAAGAGGUAUGGGACUGUAGGUGGAGGUAAAGAGGUAUGUGACUGUAGGUGGAGGUAAAGAGGUAUGUGACUGUAGGUGGAGGUAAAGAGGUAUGUGACUGUAGGUGGAGGUAUAGAGGUAUGGGACUGUAGGUGGAGGUAAAGAGGUAUGGGACUGUAGGUGGAGGUAAAGAGGUAUGAGACUGUAGGUGGAGGUAUGGGACUGUAGGUGGAGGUAUAGAGUUAAGUGACUGUAGGAGGAGGUAUGGGACUGUAGGUGGAGGUAAACAGGUUUGGGACUGUAGCUGGG